rnacentral:rRNA from 1 species
GACGAACGCUGGCGGCGUGCUUAACACAUGCAAGUCGAACGAAGUGGCGAACGGGUGAGUAACGCGUAAUCAACCUGCCCUUCAGAGGGGGACAACAGUUGGAAACGACUGCUAAUACCGCAUACUGAAGGCGGGGAUUGCGUCUGAUUAGCUAGUUGGAGGGGUAACGGCCCACCAGGGCGAUGAUCAGUAGGAGGGCUGGAAGGAUGGACGGCCACAUUGGGACUGGGACACUGCCCAUACUCCUACGGGAAGCAGCGGGGGGGAAACUUCCGCAAUGGACGGAAGUCUGACGGAGCAAAGCCGCGGGAGUGAUGACGGCCUUGUGGUUGUAAAGCUCUGUUAAUCGGGACGCGGUACCGGAAUAGAAAGCCACGGCUAACUACGUGCCAGCAGCCGCGGUAAUAC